rnacentral:lncRNA from 1 species
UCAAAAUAAAUUCUAGUCCUUAACAACAAUUUAAAUUUGUCAAUUGCUUUCAUAUUGUUGGUUUGUCAUCGCCCACAUAAAUGAAUUUGACACCAUCACUUAGCUUGCGACAAUGGAGGCAACCUUGCAUUAACACACUGAUAUGAGUUGUGGCACCAUAAUUCUAUCUAGCAGGUGUGUAUAAGAACAAAAGUUAAAUUAAUCUCAGAACAAAUAAAAUUAAGAAGCACAUAUUUCUUUGGGCACCAUGUAUGAUAAUUAGCGCAUUGCUUCUUCUGGUGCUUCGAAGCUUUACAGAAGAAACAAAUAUUU